rnacentral:lncRNA from 12 species
CCGUUUUUUCCCGAUUUUCCCCCGUUUUUCCAGCUUGGAUCUUCCUCCUCUUCCUCCUCCUCCUCCUCCUCCUCACUCUCCAAUUUCCCUUUUUUCACCCCAUUUUUUCCCUUUUCUGGGGUUUUUUGGGGUUUUUUUCCCCUCUCAGUCCCGGAUUUGUCGUUUUUUCCCCCAUUUUUCCGGCCUGAAUCUUCCUCCUCCUCCUCCUCCUCAUCCUCCUCUUCCUCACUCUCAAUUUUCCCUCUUUUUCUCCCAUUUUUCCCCAUUUUUUCCUCUUUUUUCACCCCAUUUUUUCCAGAAUUUUUUGAUUUUUCCCCAAUUUUUCCCCUUUUUCCCCGAUUUUUCUUCCUCUCCUCUUCCUCAUCUUCCUCCUCCUCCUCCUCCUCUUCAUCCUCAUCCUCCUCUUCCUCACUCUCAAUUUUCCCUCUUUUUCUCCCAUUUUUCCCCAUUUUUUCCUCUUUUUUCACCCCAUUUUUUCCAGAAUUUUUUGAUUUUUCCCCAAUUUUUCCCCUUUUUCCCCGAUUUUUCUUCCUCUCCUCUUCCUCCUCCUCUUCCUCCUCCUCCUCCUCUUCCUGUUUUUCCCAGAAUUUUUUGAUUUUUCCCCAAAUUUUGUUCCCCUUUCCCCCCCAUUUUCUUUCCUCUCCUCCUCUUCUUCCUCCUCCUCAUCUUCAUCCUCAUCCUCCUCUUCCUCACUCUCAAUUUUCCCCUUUUUCACCCCGAUUUUCCCGGAUUUUUUUGAUUUUUCCCCCUUUUUUCCGGAAUUUUUUGACUUUUCCCCGGGUUUUCCAGAAUUCUUUGAUUUUUCCCCAAUUCUUCCCUUUUUCACCCCAAUUUUAUUCCUCUCCUCCUCCUCCUCCUCAUCCUCCUCUUCAUCCUCAUCCUCCUCUUCCUCACUCUCAAUUUUCCCUCUUUUUCCCCCCUUUUUCCCAAAAUUUUUGGAUUUUUCCCCGAUUUUUCCGGAAUUUUCUGAUUUUCCCCCAGUUUUUCCCUUUUUCGCCCCAAUUUUCUUCCUCUCCUCUUCCUCCUCUUCCUCUUUCUCCUCCUCACUCUCAAUUUUCCUUUUUUUUCUCCCAUUUUUCCCCAUUUUUUCCUCCUUUCUUCCUCUUUCUCUCCCGUUUUUCCUCCUCUCUUCCUCCUCCUCCUCCUCCUCACUCUCCAUUUUCCUCUUUUUCCCCAUUUUUUCCUCCUUCUCCCCAGAAUUUUUUGCUUUUUCCCCAAAUUUUCCCUCUUUCAUCUCGUUUUCCUUCCUCCCCGCCUCUUCCUCCUCCUCCUCCUCUUCCUCACUCCAUUUUUCCCCAUUUUUUCCUCCUUUCUUCCUCUUUCUCUCCCGUUUUUCCUCCUCUCUUCCUCCUCCUCCUCCUCCUCACUCUCCAUUUUCCUCUUUUUCCCCAUUUUUUCCUCCUUCUCCCCAGAAUUUUUUGCUUUUUCCCCAAAUUUUCCCUCUUUCAUCCCGUUUUCCUUCCUCCCCUCCUCUUCCUCCUCCUCCUCCUCUUCCUCACUCUCGAUUUUCCUCCUUUUUUCCCCUUUUUUCCCCUUUUUCCUCUCCUCUUCCUCCUCUUCCUCCCCACUCCCAAUUUCCCCUUUUUUCAACCCAAUUUUUUUUGAUUUUUCCCCAAUUUUUCCCUCUUCCUCCUCCUCUUCCUCACUUUCAAUUUCCCCACUUCUCACCUCAUUUUCCCCGGAUUUUUGAGUUUUCUCCCCAUUUUCCUCCCUCUCUUCCUCCUCCUCUUCCUCACUCCCAACCCCCCCCGAACUCUUCCCAAAUUUUUUCGGACUUUCCCCAUUUUCCUUCCUCUCCUCUUCAUCUUCCUCUUCCUCCUUCCCCAUUUCCCCCUUUUUUAUCCCAUUUUCCUCCAUUUUUCCCCCAUUUUUUUCCAUUUCCUCCUCAUUUCCCCCCAUUUCCCCCCCGAUUUCCUCAAUUUUCCGGGGGGGGGGGGGGGGGGGGGGGGGGGGGGGGGGGGGGGGGGGGGGGGGGGGGGGGGGGGGGGGGGGGGGGGGGGGGGGGGGGGGGGGGGGGGGGGGCCCGCCGCUAGGAGGCGCCACGCACAGGGCGUGGUCCCCUCUAGCCACGCCCCCUUCCUGCUCCGCGCGUGCGCAUUCGCUUUCUGCCCAAUUCGGCGCCCUGCAAAAAAAAUGGGCGGGGUCAAACCGGGCGCGAACGCUUUGUGGGCGUGGCCAGCACAGGGCG